UCACCCAUAAAAUAACUACCUAAGCGUUUGCUUUGAUAGCAAACUUGAUGACUCUGUUUCUUCCCCAUUCACUGAUAAUAAUCCAUCUGCUGCUUGAAGUUUGAACAGCACAGCUGCACCGAGUUACAAUACAGGCCCCCAUGCUCUCCAUCCUCUUCUUCUCCACCAUCUUCCUCACUCUCUCCCUCCUCUCUCUCCUCUUCCUCUCCUCUCUCUACACCAACAAGCUCCGUAGCCCCCGCCCCGAGUCCAACCCAUACACAGCAGCACUCAAAGACGACAGCAUCAACCCAUCAGCUCCAGAACUGUCAUUAGCGGAAUCCGAGGGCCUGUCUGGCCAACUGGACCGGGCUCAGGGCCAGGGCCCCAAAAGGAAGAAGAAGAGGGCAGGAAGAAGAGCAAGAGGCCGGACUUGGAUAAGGAAGAAGAGCAGAAUGUGGUGGGAUCCAGGUUGAGUGCUGAUUUGGGUUUUCGGGACAAGCCCGACCUGAUUUGCCUGUACCCUUUUACCUCCUUGGGUAGUGCCACUCAGAGGAGGAUCAAACAGCUGUAGGACGAGCUCUUGAAGUUCCACGAUUAUAAGGGGCUGACACUUGCUCAGGUCGGUACCCUUUCUUGAACAUUGUCACCUGAUUCCUCUUCCACAACGGGGUAGAACUUGAUUUUGUAUCCACUUAGUGUAAUUUGUUUAUAAUGUUGUGAGGUGAGAGGACGCGAAGCAGAUGCCUUUGAAGGGUGAUGAGAUUGCUUCUGCAAUUGGCCUUCAUUCAUGUUCCCGUCUUUCAUGUCAGCUGAAAUGUGGAAAUUAUGAAUCUUUUGUCUGCAAAAAGAUGGUUUUUCUGCUGGCAUUUUGAAGAAUCAGGUUGCUUCUUCUCGUGAUAGAUGAAGGAGCUGUGCAUCUACUCCAAAACCUUCGCCAGGACUAGAUAGAAUACAGCAUAGGCGUUUCUUAUGUGCACUGAUGAGUUUCUUCUCUUGGAGAUGGGGGCCUAUGGCUAGAAACCUUUCUAAUCUUUGGAGGCAGAAUAUGGAGGACAAGAUGACCUUUUGAAUAGGUCCCAAGUGCAUCUCUGCUCUGUAAAGAAAACUGAGCAACUUGAGCAACUUGAAAAGCACUAUUAUCUUAAUAAAAGCCUCAUGCUCCACUUUCUACUUGGCGAUUUGCGCUGGCCAGAACUCAUGCACCGUGCCCGUGACUCCAGAGAUAUUUGGCGGAGACCCAUGCCCAAGCGUAAUGAAGAAGCUCUCUGCUGAGGUCAUUUGCAGCUGAGAAAACAAACCACGAAAUUCCCACUUAUUGAAGAGCUAUGGCUUGAGAAAAACCAAGUUCCCCUUUUUACCACCUCGGUAAUUUACUAGCUCGAAUCCGUUGUCCUUGGAGUCAUGCAGGGUUCAGCAUCUACAGAGGUGAAGUCGUACAAAAUUACCCUGACACAACACACACUCUUGUCUGCAUGAAUCCUCUCACUGAUUCUGAAGAUGAUGGUGGAUUAUACAUUAGGAUAUAUACAAACAUAUAUGUAUAUAUAUAUGUGCUCGUCAUUCCUUAUCGUAUGAGGAGUUGAGGGAUUUGAUGUGAACAAAGCACAUUGAGACAACCAACUGGAGUCCAUGUGCUUUGUAGGUUUUAGGAAAGCCUCUUAUUUCCUUAGGAAGUCUUAAUGGUUUCUCAAUCAUGUGGAAGAUUGGUUUCCCUAAGAAUCAAUUGUUUGAUUUGCUUAUGUUGUAUUGAAGAAUUGUUUCAGCUGGUAAUCAAACGACGCCAAUUGCUUCGUUUUA